rnacentral:lncRNA from 1 species
GCGCGCUCAGGGCAUGUUACACCCGGAGGAGGGACGCGCGGGCGGGGCGCGCGCCGCGUCAGCCACCACAGUCACUGCCGGGGCGGCCCGGGCCACUCGGGGCCUGGCAUGGACGCCAGGACUUUCCGCCCAGCCGCCCCGGAACUUCCCGGCCCCGGCAGGGCACUCGGGCUCCCGCACCUCUGCCGGGAAGCGGUCUCGCUCGGCCGCCGCUCCCCGCCCCUCCUCGGCCCGCCUGACCGCACCCAGGGCCUGGCGGUCGGAGCUGGGAACAGCAGAGACGCUGCUGCCUGAGGCUGGCGGAAGCGGAGGUGAUGUCUUGAGUGGGAAGGCAAUGAGUUUUGUUUUCAGACAUACUGGGUUGCAGGCAAGGGGAGAAGAGCAGAGAGGGCGCUGAGGGGAACUGGGAAUGCGGGGCAGCGUGUAGGGGGAGGGCAGGGCCGGUGGGUGGAGGGGAGGGGGCUGUCUCCCCGGGGGACAGCGAGGGGCGCUGUGCAGCCAGCAGCCUCCCACAGCUCAGGCCACUCCGGGCUCUUCCUUCCGUGGGCUUUUGUGUAGACCACAGAGGUGUUUUGUGGGGAAAAGGGAAAUCUCACAACAACAACAUUAAAGUUUCCGAUUCUAGAUUUGAAUGAGGAGCUGACAGUUAAGUUGUGCCCCACCCCCCACCCCUGGAGUAAUAAGGAGAAGGACCAUGAAGAGUUGAAUGGACAGUGCAGGGAGGACUGCAGUCGCAUCACAGCAGGGGUGGGGCGGGCAAGAGCCCGAGGGCCUUGAGCUGGUUCAUUUCAACUGCCUGGGGCAGAAGGCAUCUCCAGCCAUCCAAGAACAGUGGACCACCUGCUCAGGGGUGGCAGGCAGUGUGCUCCAGGUGGAGAGGUGAGGAAGCUGUGAGCCUGCUCUCUAGAGUGUCACGGGUGGCAUAAGCACGGAGGCCCCAAGACGCCCAUGCCGGCAGGAGGGGCUGGGCACAGAGGGACUCCUGGACACGUGAGGGAAUAAGGGCCGGUCAGCUCAGACAGGAGGAAGGGGACGAGGCCAGCUGUAAGACAGGCGACAGCUUAGAGUGGUGGGGAAAGAGUAGCGACAGAAGGGGUGAGGCGGUGGUCCCCGCGUCACGCAAGAGUCACUCUGUGGCCAGAGUGGUUGUGAAAAUGCUUAUCAGCCGGUACUGCCAGGGUAGUGGCCCGAUCAGGACCAGGGCUGCUCCCUCUUGGACCCCACGUAGAUGGUGCAUGGCACAGUAUCAACUAAGCUUUUAGUUCCGUUUUUCAGGAACUUUCUGAAGCACCUCUGUUUUACUCACCACAUGCCAUCCCGGCUGCAGUGAGUGGCUGGGGAUACAGCGGAGUCAGAUCUGCACUCAGGAGCCUGAUAAAGAACAGGUGCUCCAAGUGAAGAAUCCCCUGCACCUGCUCUUGUGGCCAAUCGGCUCUCUUCCGGCCUUCCCAAGGCACGUGCCAGCCCUCCGUGCUUUCACACAAAGAUCACGGCCUGUGGUUCUCCAUGUUUCCAAGUGCCCCUCACUUCCGUAGGAAAUCAGGCAACGGCAUCCGUCUUAGGGCAGAUUCAAUCUCCACCCAGUGGACCUGAGCCUGACCCAGACCAGCAACUCAGAGAACACUGCCAGCUGUGGACCCAUGGCAUCAGAAUUGCUAUUCGGCUGUCAUGCAUUUUUUUUAAAAGGUACUAACUCAAGAAUUGUUUUCUCCUGUGAAAGUUUCAAAUACUGUAUAUGUAUGAUGGAGGUCAUCGGCCCUUAAAGAAAAAAAUAAAUUCUAUCAUUAUAUCUUAAAAGAAAUUAUU